GUCCACGCCCUAAACGAUGUCAACUGGUUGUUGGACGGCUUGCUGUUCAGUAACGAAGCUAACGCGUGAAGUUGACCGCCUGGGGAGUACGGCCGCAAGGUUGAAACUCAAAGGAAUUGACGGGACCCGCACAAGCGGUGGAUGAUGUGGUUUAAUUCGAUGCAACGCGAAAACCUUACCUACCCUUGACAUGUCUGGAAUUUUGCAGAGAUGUGAAAAGUGCUCGAAAGAGAGCCAGAACACAGGUGCUGCAUGGCCGUCGU
rnacentral:rRNA from 1 species